GACGAACGCUGGCGGCGUGCUUAACACAUGCAAGUCGAACGGAAAGGCCCUGCUUUUGUGGGGUGCUCGAGUGGCGAACGGGUGAGUAACACGUGAGUAACCUGCCCUUGACUUUGGGAUAACUUCAGGAAACUGGGGCUAAUACCGGAUAGGAGCUCCUGCUGCAUGGUGGGGGUUGGAAAGUUUCGGCGGUUGGGGAUGGACUCGCGGCUUAUCAGCUUGUUGGUGGGGUAGUGGCUUACCAAGGCUUUGACGGGUAGCCGGCCUGAGAGGGUGACCGGCCACAUUGGGACUGAGAUACGGCCCAGACUCCUAGGGGAGGCAGCAGUGGGGAAUAUUGCACAAUGGGCGGAAGCCUGAUGCAGCAACGCCGCAUGCGGGAUGACGGCCUUCGGGUUGUAAACCGCUUUCGCCUGUGACGAAGCGUGAGUGACGGUAAUGGGUAAAGAAGCACCGGCUAACUACGU
rnacentral:rRNA from 1 species